ensembl:misc_RNA 7SK 7SK RNA
AGAUGUGAGGGCGAUCUGGCUGGACAUCUGUCACCCCAUUGAUCGCCAGGGUUGAUUCGGCUGAUCUGGCUGGCUAGGCGGGUGUCCCCUUCCUCCCUCACCGCUCCAUGUGCGUCCCUCCUGAAGCUGCGCGCUCGGUCGAAGAGGACGGCCUUCCCCCAAUAGAGACGGACCAGUCUUUGGUCGAGGGUAUAGGAGUAGCUGCGCUCCCCUGCUAGAACCUCCAAACAAGCUCUCAAGAGGUCUGGAAUCUCAAACAGCCUAGUAGGAAGAAGGUAGUUAUCCAGGGAGGCUGUGGAAAGACAUAUGAUAU